AGUGAACGCUGGCGGUAGGCCUAACACAUGCAAGUCGAACGGCAGCACAGUAAGAGCUUGCUCUUACGGGUGGCGAGUGGCGGACGGGUGAGGAAUACAUCGGAAUCUACUUUUUCGUGGGGGAUAGCGUAGGGAAACUUACGCUAAUACCGCAUACGACCUACGGGUGAAAGCAGGGGAUCUUCGGACCUUGCGCGAUUGAAUGAGCCGAUGUCGGAUUAGCUAGUUGGCGGGGUAAAGGCCCACCAAGGCGACGAUCCGUAGCUGGUCUGAGAGGAUGAUCAGCCACGCUGGAACUGAGACACGGUCCAGACUCCUACGGGAGGCAGCAGUGGGGAAUAUUGGACAAUGGGCGCAAGCCUGAUCCAGCCAUACCGCGUGGGUGAAGAAGGCCUUCGGGUUGUAAAGCCCUUUUGUUGGGAAAGAAAAGCAGCAGGUUAAUACCCCGCUGUUCUGACGGUACCCAAAGAAUAAGCACCGGCUAACUUCGUG
rnacentral:rRNA from 1 species